rfam:Gossypium hirsutum cultivar TM-1 chromosome 6, whole genome shotgun sequence
AAUCCAUGGUGAGGGCACCUUCUUAGUAAGCCCUUGUAUCUCUCCCAUUCAUCAUAAAGUGUUUCUAAAUCCAUCUGCACAAAAGAAGAUAUAUCAUUCCUCAGCUU